CAUCAAGGGUUUUAAGUUUUAACUCAGCCCCCAAAACACCCACACCACUCCUUUCUUCUUUCCCCCAUUUCCUAAAACCCUAAUUUCCCCCAAUUUUUAGGGUUUUCUCCUCUCAAUCUCAUCCACAAAAAUGGCGACUGCUCUUCUACUCAGAAGACAAUUAUCACCUUCAUUAACACCAUCAUCAAGGCGCGCACUCGCCGCUUUCACUUCCUUCUUCCACUCCACCCAACCACUAUCAUCAUCUUCAACAACGGUCAUAAAUGGCGGAUUUCUGGGAAGUAACAAUGAAUCAGUCGUUAAAUCCAAAUCGUGCUUCGAAAGUGCGAAGAAUAUACAGUCGCGAUUAAGUUUCCGAGCUUCUUUUGCGUCGCAAGCUGCUGGUUUUGCUGUUGCUGAUUACUCGGAUGACGAUAAAACUAGAGGAGAUGAAGGUCUUGAUAUUUCGAAGCUUAAUAUUCAUGACGACAUUGUUUCUUGUUUGUCUAAGAAAGGAAUCACUAAGCUAUUCCCGAUUCAGAAAGCUGUUCUUGAACCUGCAUUUCAGGGUCGUGACAUGAUUGGUCGUGCCAGAACUGGGACAGGGAAGACACUUGCUUUUGGGAUACCAAUCAUGGAUAAGAUUACACGCCAGAAUGAGAAGAACGGGGUAGGGAGGGAUCCUUUGGCUUUGGUUUUGGCUCCGACAAGAGAACUUGCUCGACAGGUUGAGAAGGAAUUUUAUGAGUCUUCAAAGCUAGACACUUUGUGCGUAUAUGGGGGUACACCAAUUGCUCGUCAAAUGAGUGCGCUUAGCCGUGGUGUUGAUGUGGUUGCUGGGACACCUGGCCGGGUAAUUGAUCUGAUAAAGAGAGGAGCUUUGGAUCUGUCUCGUGUUCAGUUUGUUGUUCUGGAUGAAGCUGAUCAAAUGCUUAAUGUUGGAUUUGAGGAAGAUGUGGAGGUUAUAUUAGAGAAGCUGCCAAAAAAUCGCCAAACUAUGAUGUUCUCUGCCACCAUGCCGAAUUGGAUCAUGAAGCUUACUAAAAAAUACUUGAAGGAUCCUUUGAUGAUUGAUCUUGUUGGGGACUCAGAUCAGAAGCUGGCAGAAGGAAUCUCUUUAUGUUCAGUUGUAGUGGAUCGUCGUGCAAAAGCAGGUGUUAUUGGACCUCUUUUCACGGAAUAUGCACAUGGAGGGAAAUGCAUUGUUUUCACUCAGACAAAACGUGAUGCUGAUAACCUAUCUUCUGCAUUGGCAAGGAAAAACUACAAAUGUGAGCCCUUGCAUGGGGAUAUUGCUCAAGGUCAAAGGGAAAGAACACUUAAACGGUUUAGAGACGGGGAAAUCAACAUUUUGGUCGCUACUGAUGUGGCUGCUCGUGGUCUGGACGUACCAAAUGUUGAUCUGAUUUUACAUUAUGAACUCCCUUCAACUUCCGAGAGCUUUGUUCAUCGGUCCGGUCGAACUGGUCGUGCUGGAAAAAAAGGAACUGCAAUUGUUAUUUAUACAACGGAUGAAUCAAGGGCUGUUAAAGUUAUUGAGCGUGAUGUUGGAUGCAGAUUCAAAGAGCUUCCUCCAAUUGCUUCUGAUGGUGCCGAGAUGGAUAUGGGCAUGGGUGGUGGCGGUCGAUUUGGGAACUCUGGUUUCAGUCGUUCAGGAGGAUAUGGAAAUUCAAGUUCUGGGCGUUAUGGUGGGGAUUCCUAUUCUGGACGUUCUGGUGGUUAUGGGAACAUGAACUCUGGUCGUGGCGGAUCCAGGGAUUCUGGAUCUGGUGGUUUUGGCUCUUAUGGUGGCUCUUCUUCUAGAUCGGGUGGCGGUUAUGAGGGUUCCAGUGGCUCUGGUUUUGGUCGAUCCUCUGGUGGUGGAUUUGGUGACUCUGGGAGGAGUGACAGAUCUGGUGGUUUUGGCAACUUCGGUUCAGGCCGUCAGAGCGGGAAUCAGAAGAGUGGUAAUACUAAUUCAAAUCGGUUUGGCAGCUUUGGUGACAGUUUCUUUUAAGAAGUAAGCCUCUUUGGCUAGGGGAAGGAUUUAUAAGCAGGAAUCCCAAACCUAUUGGUUGCUGGAUUGGAUUUGGGUUUACCUGGAUUAGACUUGGGGGACUUUUUACGCGCGUGGAGGUGGGUUAGCAAGUCUGCUGGCUACCUGAAGCCAGUAGGGUGGCUCUCACCUCGCUUUCAAGUUCCUAUACGUGUGGUUCAACCGGGUCACAUUCCAUCCAAGUGCCCAGUUGUUCCCCAUGAUACUAGUUUGUUUCUAAAGGUCAAUCCGUUGUGAGUUCAUUCAGCUGCAGGCGAGGAUUUGAUAGGAGCUAUACUGGAACAAUUAGUUAUGCUGUGUGCAUAAAUUAAGCAAGACCGUUGUUUGUUUCUUCUGGAAUUGAAGUCAUGAUGGAAUAUCAUACAAGUGUUCUUGGUGGAAAAUAUAGUUUUAUGAACGUAACAACCUUGUUUGUAUUAUAUAACAUGUUAGAGUAGGGCGCGCAACCUAUUUUUCUUAAUGCUUUAGACAAACUACCCUUGGAACUUGAUUUUGUCCGUUGCAAUCAUAUAGUAAAUAAGAUAUAUCCAAGAGCUUUUAUUUUC